UGGUGCUUGCACCUGAUUGACGAUGGAUCACCAGUGAGUGGCGGACGGGUGAGUAACACGUAGGUAACCUGCCCCGGAGCGGGGGAUAACAUUUGGAAACAGAUGCUAAUACCGCAUAACAACAAAAGCCACAUGGCUUUUGUUUGAAAGAUGGCUUUGGCUAUCACUCUGGGAUGGACCUGCGGUGCAUUAGCUAGUUGGUAAGGUAACGGCUUACCAAGGCGAUGAUGCAUAGCCGAGUUGAGAGACUGAUCGGCCACAAUGGAACUGAGACACGGUCCAUACUCCUACGGGAGGCAGCAGUAGGGAAUCUUCCACAAUGGGCGCAAGCCUGAUGGAGCAACACCGCGUGAGUGAAGAAGGGUUUCGGCUCGUAAAGCUCUGUUGUUGGAGAAGAACGUGCGUGAGAGUAACUGUUCACGCAGUGACGGUAUCCAACCAGAAAGUCACGGCUAACUACGUGCCAGCAGCCGCGGUAAUACGUAGGUGGCAAGCGUUAUCCGGAUUUAUUGGGCGUAAAGCGAGCGCAGGCGGUUGCUUAGGUCUGAUGUGAAAGCCUUCGGCUUAACCGAAGAAGUGCAUCGGAAACCGGGCAACUUGAGUGCAGAAGAGGACAGUGGAACUCCAUGUGUAGCGGUGGAAUGCGUAGAUAUAUGGAAGAACACCAGUGGCGAAGGCGGCUGUCUGGUCUGCAACUGACGCUGAGGCUCGAAAGCAUGGGUAGCGAACAGGGAUUAGAUACCCUGGUAGUCCAUGCCGU
rnacentral:rRNA from 1 species